AACUGAUCCACAUGGUGUUCAAGUGAUUACACAAGUGUAUAGAUUGUUUUAAAAGUUGGGUUCGAUAGAUAUGUAGAAUUCCAUGCCGCCAUCGCUGAAGCCGCGCAGGCAAGCCUCAAUGUCUGCACCUAGGCCUUCAGCGGGUGCAGCUACUGUGUGCUGCGGAUGGUACCCUUCCAUUACAGUGAGGAGGUCUUCCAGAUCAGCUAUCACGGUGGUUCCUUGGUGUGCCCAUGGGCAGCACACCAACUGUUUGAUGAAAUGCAUGAUCGAGGUGCACUCCUGUUACUGUUUUAAUCCUUAUUAUUAUCUCAUAUUUACUCUAUUUUUCACUGUAUGUUGUGAUUUGAAGCUCUGCCUAUGUAAACUAAAAUUGAAUUGUUCCUUGGUCUCGAAUACUUCAUAUGGUGCAGACAAAUAUUUCAUUUUUGCAGGGUAGAACACCCUAUUAUUUUAGUGUAUAUAUUUACUAUGAGAUACUUCACUUUUUAAUGACUAUUGGAGUCACGUCAGUAUGUUAAUAGUGAUAUAGAUAUGCUAACCUGUCCAAUUUUACCUGAUAUUCCCAACACAAUAGCUUUGUUUCUUGACUGAGAUUUAUUUGUCUCCUGUUUCUAUUGCAGUUAAAAGUUUGCAGAUAAAUUCAUAUUUCGUAAUCGAUCAGCAAGCCUGGACAGUGUUCCAAGGGACAUGUGGACUCGGCUGCAGUAUAUCUAUUUGUUUGAUCUUUAGUUGCAUAUAAAAUCCUUUUGAGAUUUAUUUAUUUUAACCCAGAAAAAAAAGGAGAUUUAUUUAUUUUAAGAUAUGUCCCUUUAUUGUUCAACUGCAACUGAUUUGGAAGUCCAUACAUAACAAGAUGUAACAGAUGGGCCAUUAAGAACUCUCUGAGUCCGUUCUAUCAAAUAUAAAGUAAGGUGACUUGCCCUUCCCAGUAUUACCUUAUUACUGUUAUUUGCCUUCUUUUAUUUGAUAAAAAGGUCAUGUGAAUCAUGGAGUGGAAUAUUAAAAAGCCACUGCAUAUAGCAUUGCUUUAUCUGGAUGAGUUAUCAUCAAGCAUCAUCAUCAUCCUGAUAUUUCUAAUCAGCGUUGCACAUCUAUUUUAUCAAGCUCCUCUGUUACUUUCUAGCUACAUGAAGUGGAGUUACUAAUAUAUUGCUCUAUGAAGUGAAAGUUUCUUUCUGCUCAAAAAACUACUCCUAUAAUACAAUGCCUAAAUAUGCCAAUUUUCUACCACUACUGAAUCUGAAGUUUAACUAAUGUGCUUCAUUUCCAUGUUAGCCUUUAUAUGGUUAGCCCACCAGUAUUAAGAUUAACAAAUUGCUUGUUAUAUUUGUGAGAACUGAAACCGCUUCUUUUGAAAUGGGCUCUAAUUGUUGAAGUCUAUUUUUUUUUCAUGUUUUUUCAUGGUUUGAGAUGAAUUCUUAACUGACCAGGAAACAAAAUAUUGAUAUCUUUGGAAUUACUUGCUUUGAUUUUUAAAUACAUUUUGUCUUGUAACUUUAUUUGUUUUUUGUUAGUGUUGAACGAUUGCAAACGAAUGGUGCAUCACUUGCUGGUCAAGUUCCUCAGGAGUAUAACUUUGUCAUGUUUCCGAAAUUGUAUCAGGAUUAGCUAUGAAUUGGUCUUUGCUCUUGUGAUUAUUGUAGAGUUACACUUCAAGCUCGUGGAUGCCGCUGGUCCAUAUUCUGUGAUUAACAACAUGAUUAAAAAAAGUAAGGUUACUUCGAUUAUGUACUGCUGCUUGAACUUCAUUUACUAUAGGUUUACAGGUACCUGUGGAUUGAGAGGGUCACUGGGUCAUCUUUUGAAGUUGGUUUGGAUGACCUGAAGCUAUCAGGGAACAAUGAUCAGAUUCUUCAGAAGAAGACUCUUCGAGGAUAGCAUCAUUGGAACCUGCUAAGCACUUUUACAUCCUUGACUUCAAAGACUGGUUCCGCCGACAUACCAACUCGAUUUGAUUUUUGCUCUAAUUUGCUCAAUGUGGUUGAGUUGUAUUGUUCUUCUGGAGUUUUUUUUUUUUCAUUCGAUCUGUGUUGUGCUCUUUCUAUCUACUGGUCAGACCGAACGCCUAGUGCAAGAUGAGCUGCAUCACUUGCUAUGGCGGGCCUGAUGGUUGCAUCACCUGGUGACAUGUUUAUGCCUGCAAUUUAAUGUAAUAGUUCUCUAUCUUUUUUUUUGUUAUUUGGACAUAUGUUAUCUUCAAAUAUGUAUUAAAGUGAUUGGGUAUAAUGGUUGAUGCUCUUGAAUUGCA